rnacentral:lncRNA from 1 species
GAAUUUCCACAUAAUAGGAAUGUUCAAACAAGUCAAUAAAACUAAACUUCGGAGCCAAGCAGUCACGGUGGGAAAAUGACCACUUAAAGAUUGCCAAGAGAAAAGACAAGCACGUUGAACUUCAAAUGGUGAUGGAGAGACCAGGCACGGGGCAAGGCCUAGGAGAGUGGUUACCCAUGGGGUUUUCAAGUUAACAGUCUUGGAUCAAAAGAACUAGGGAAAGGGGGAUCAGAAACACACAGAGGAAAAGGUGAUGGGAAGAAGCAGCAGACAGAUUUGAAGAUGCUGGCUUUGAAGACUGCAGUGAUGCAGCCACAAAUCAAAGAAUGCUGGCCGCCAUCAGGAGCUGGAGGAGUCUAGGCGAAAAAGAACCUUCCACUAUCUCUUACUGUGAAGCUCAUUACUGGACCUUUUACAAUCUGUGGAAUCCAAAUGAAGCAAGCACCACCAGGUCUCAGAAGGGAGUGCAGCUCUUCCUAAUAAGAUUUCAAUCAGGCAAUAUAAAAUCUGGAGCCACUAUGUAGAGACAGCUGGUAAUAGUAAAGCAGCCGCAGAAGAAAUUGGAGUAAAAAGAUGCGAAGAGGCCAAAUCCUGAUGACAUUUGCUGAACUGUUGAACCGUUUGGUCUAGCCAGCGCUGCUUCAGGUUUUCCAAGUUUAUAAGCUGGUACAUUUCAGUUUUUAGAUACUUGCAACCAAAAAAUCCUAAUAUAACUACCAACAGAGCAUCUGGUAUACUGGAAAACAUUCACUGAACUAUUAAAAGGAAUCCUCACAAAGUGAUAUUUGUCCAAGUGUCAAAGUCCUAAAACUCAAAUGGAGACGACGAUCAGCUUUCACACUCUUCGCUUCAGUUUUAAGACAGUACUUGGAAUGUGUUUGCUAAAGACAGACAGAACUUUCUGUUCUCCUCUAGCACAUAACACAAUCAGAGGGAAGAUGCAUUGUGGUUGAAUAAUGCAUGAGGUAGC